UCCUACGGGGGGCAGCAGGGAAUAUUGCACAAUGGGGGAAACCCUGAUGCAGCGACGCCGCGUGAAGGAAGAAGUAUUUCGGUAUGUAAACUUCUAUCAGCAGGGAAGAAAAUGACGGUACCUGACUAAGAAGCCCCGGCUAACUACGUGCCAGCAGCCGCGGUAAUACGUAGGGGGCAAGCGUUAUCCAGAUUUACUGGGUGUAAAGGGAGCGUAGGCGGUGCAGCAAGUCAGAAGUGAAAGCCCGGGGCUCAACUCCGGGACUGCUUUUGCAACUGUUGAACUAGAUUGCAGGAGCGGCAAGG
rnacentral:rRNA from 1 species